GAAAGUACACUUAGGCACAAAGAAAUGUAUGCCACCUAGCUAGUGUCACCACCAUAGAGCCUGGACCCACAGCCAAAGCACUGAACUGCUGUUGAGUAGGAAAAUGAAUCAAAAGAUGCUACUGGCUGUCCUGGAUUACUCGCUCUGAGGAAGCCAGCUACCAUGUCGUAAGAUCCUGAAGCAGCCGUGAGAUGAGGUCCACAUGGUGAGGAACUGAGAGCUCUUGCCAACAGCCAGUAUCAAAGUGCUUGCUAUGAUCAAACCAUAGAACAUUAACUUCAGAAAGAACCUAAUCCCAGCACCAGCAGGUGAUGUGGUGGUUAAGGUGCUGAACUUCCACAUGGUCAACAAUGGUCUUGGGCCUGGAGGCUUAAAAAUCACACCAGAUGGUGGGAAAAGAAUGGAAACAGGGAAAAGAACAGGGAACAACUCCAAUAAUUCAGUCCAGAGAUGCUGCUUGAUGGACCAGAAUGGGAAGAAUGAAGGACAAGCUAGAUUUUCUUCAGAGAAACACAACUAAUAGGUUGAAGGGAAGAUCAAUGAUUUCCACUCCCGGAAGCAGUUACUAUUCACACACUAGGGUGUGGAAAGGGUGAUCUCACACUACUAGGAGGAACACUGAAUAAAUGCCAGAAUGGAGGUAAGAACAACAGAUCACACAACAGAACACACAACAGAACUAACCAACCACAAAAAAAACCGGAAACAAAUACACAACCGGAGUCCAAUUUCAGAGUUUUCUGAGUGAGGGUCACACUGGAUGAGAUUAAUAACCACAAUUACAAUGAGUUUUCACGCGUGUGUGUGUACCAGGAACUGUGUCAAGCCAUCUACAAGCUUCACUAAAUCCAAGAACCCUGGGAAGAAGGUUCGCUCCCCCUUUUUUCAGAUGGGGAAACUGAGACUCAGGGAGAGCCAAGGUCACAUCCUGUAAUUGAGAGAACCGGGAUGUGAACCCAGGAAGUCCUACUCCUGAGCCUGCGCUCAGCGGGCCCCUCCGAGGAGCCAUCCUCGCCUCCUCCAACAUUGACUACACACCCCUCAACACAGGCGUGUGUAUAGUAAUUCCCCAGGAGUCGGACUUGGUGGCCCCGGCGCCGGGAGAACAAAACAAUACUUGUCCGCAGGCAAGUCCGAUCGCCAGCGGCCAAGCCUGGGCCCCAAGGCAGCUGUCCCCUGAGCUUCACUCACAUCGUGAACCCCAAGCCUCCCCGGCGGCGCAGGAAGCGACAAGGCGGCCUCGGGAGCCCAGGAAGGCCCGGCCCGCCGCGUGACCUUGGAUUCGUCGCCCUGCUUCAAGCCUCAGUUUCCCCAUCCCGGCCUUGCGCCUGUGCUGCUGCAGGCCCUCCACACGCCCCCCUCAGCCGCCCAC